rnacentral:siRNA from 1 species
GUGAGGAUCUUCUUGUCGUGGU